rnacentral:sRNA from 1 species
GAUGCCAGGGGAUCGAACUCAAAAACCGAUCGUGCUUGCACGAUGAGGUUUUUGAGCUUGGGACCCGCAAAAACAUGAGGAUGCAGCGAUUUUCAAAGAAAAUCAGCGAAUCCGAAUGUUUUUAGAAUUGCGAAAGAUGCGAAGCAACGGAGCAAUUCGUAGGCAUC